rnacentral:rRNA from 1 species
UGGGGAAUAUUGCACAAUGGAGGAAACUCUGAUGCAGCGACGCCGCGUGAGUGAAGAAGUAUUUCGGUAUGUAAAGCUCUAUCAGCAGGGAAGAAGACGACGGUACCUGACUAAGAAGCCCCGGCUAACUACGUGCCAGCAGCCGCGGUAAUACGUAGGGGGCAAGCGUUAUCCGGAUUUACUGGGUGUAAAGGGAGCGUAGACGGCAUGGCAAGUCUGAAGUGAAAUCCCGGGGCUCAAUCCCGGUGCUGCUUUGGAAACUGUUAAGCUGGAGUGCUGGAGAGGCAAGCGGAAUUCCUAGUGUAGCGGUGAAAUGCGUAGAUAUUAGGAGGAACACCAGUGGCGAAGGCGGCUUGCUGGACAGUAACUGACGUUGAGGCUC